rnacentral:tRNA from 1 species
AAAUUCUGAUUUCAAGUGAAAAAUUUCUUUUACAAUGAAAUAUUUAACUAAAGUUUU